rnacentral:rRNA from 1 species
AAGUCUGCUGUCAAAGGUCGGAGCUUAACUCCGGUGUGGCAGUGGAAACUGGUGCGCUAGAGGGCGACAGGGGUAGAGGGAAUUCCCAGUGUAGCGGUGAAAUGCGUAGAGAUUGGGAAGAACACCGGUGGCGAAAGCGCUCUACUGGGUCGCACCUGACCCUCAGGGACGAAAGCUAAGGUAGCGAAAGGGAUUAGAUACCCCUGUAGUCUUAGCCGUAAACGAUGGAUACUAGGCGUGGUUUGUAUCGACCCAAGCCGUGCCGAAGCUAACGCGUUAAGUAUCCCGCCUGGGGAGUACGCACGCAAGUGUGAAACUCAAAGGAAUUGACGGGGGCCCGCACAAGCGGUGGAGGAUGUGGUUUAAUUCGAUGCAACGCGAAGAACCUUACCAGGGCUUGACAUCCCGCGCAUCCCCAUGAAAGUGGGGAGUGCCUUCGGGAACGCGGAGACAGGUGGUGCAUGGCUGUCGUCAGCUCGUGUCGUGAGAUGUUGGGUUAAGUCCCGCAACGAGCGCAACCCUCGUCCUUAGUUGCCAGCAUUAAGUUGGGAACUCUAGGGAGACUGCCGGUGACAAACCGGAGGAAGGUGAGGAUGACGUCAAGUCAGCAUGCCCCUUAUGCUCUGGGCGACACACGUCCUACAAUGGUCGGGACAAAGGGAAGCGAACUCGCAAGAGCCAGCAAAUCCCAUCAAACUCGGCCUCAGUUCAGAUAGCAGGCUGCAACUCGCCUGCUUGAAGGAGGAAUCGCUAGUAAUCGCCGGUCAGAAUACGGCGGUGAAU